UGCAUAAAAAGUGACAGAUACAAUAUCAGUAUAAUUUAAUAUUUGAUAUUCCCAAACCUGAGAUGACAAACUUAAAGAAAAUGAAGAAAAAGCUAAAGAAAUUAAAAAAGAAACUUAAAAGUUCAGUUGUCUUUGUAUGCAGUGAGCUCUGUACUGAUUUACUUAUAUUGUUGUCGAGAUAAAACUUUUUCAGGUUCUCGUUGGUUAUGUUCAAAGAUGAAGGAGUUCCGUGCCAGCCAUAGUUCCCAAAGGAGGUUUGUGGCUCUUAAAAUGUCACUGACAAAUUGAGACCUGUUCCAACCGCUAUGGAGUUCAGGCAGAAAACCACUGCGUGCAAUGCGGUUUCUAGCUCUGUCAAGCAUCUUAGGCAAAGGGGAUUAAUGUUGGGGAUUCUGUUAUGCAUCUUCUCCAGCAUUGCUAUACCCUCAUAGACUAAUCUCCAUAUGAAGUUUCGGAUUUCUAGCUGACACUGUACAUUCCAGAUUUGUUGCCAUAAGUCUUUCAUCUGAAAUUAAGGGUUUGAACUCUCUAUUGGCGGAUGAUAGAACUUGUAUACAAUCAAGUACCCUGAAUUCACUAAGAAUUGCCCUGUUUUGUCAUUCACCCAAAAAUUGAUUUCCCUCCUUGUUCAAUUGAGAUUUUGCUGAUUUAUGCUAUAAUUUUUGCAUUAAAUUUUUUCAGUAAUAGCUCCGUGUCUAUUUGCCAGUAUUUGUUAUCAACUGCCAGACCCAAAGCAUCUUAAAGGGGUUUGGUCUCCAAAUCAUGGGUCCUCUCUUAUUCUGGUGGAGUCAUGGGUAAUGACAAUGAAUCUAACGCCUUUCUCCAGGACCUUUCUACCUUCCAAGAGACUCUGCCAAGCCCAAGAAGGUCUAAAUCCAGGCUUUGCUUCCAAGAACAAGGUAUGCCAAAAAUAUUUAUUUUUGUAGAUUUUAUAUACUACUGAAUGUGUUCUUGUUAGAAAUCUCUAUCCUUGUUUGGCUAGCAUCGAUAGGUUGAAAGAUUUGAGAUCUUUAAAACCCAAACCUCCUGAAUUUUUGUCUCUACUGAUUGAGUCGCAACUUAUCCAGUGUAUUUUUCUCUCAUUCU